CGUAGGGUGCAAGCGUUAAUCGGAAUUACUGGGCGUAAAGCGUGCGCAGGCGGUUAUGUAAGACAGAUGUGAAAUCCCCGGGCUCAACCUGGGAACUGCAUUUGUGACUGUAUAGCUAGAGUACGGCAGAGGGGGAUGGAAUUCCGCGUGUAGCAGUGAAAUGCGUAGAUAUGCGGAGGAACACCGAUGGCGAAGGCAAUCCCCUGGGCCUGUACUGACGCUCAUGCACGAAAGCGUGGGGAGCAAACAGGAUUAGAUACCCUGGUAGUCCACGCCCUAAACGAUGUCAACUGGUUGUUGGGUCUUCACUGACUCAGUAACGAAGCUAACGCGUGAAGUUGACCGCCUGGGGAGUACGGCCGCAAGGUUG
rnacentral:rRNA from 1 species